CGUGCAAUAAUUUCCUCGAUUGGCAUCAAGUGGCUUCCAGUCGGGUACAUAUUGCACAAGA
rnacentral:pre_miRNA from 1 species